rnacentral:rRNA from 1 species
GAUGAACGCUGGCGGCGUGCCUAAUACAUGCAAGUCGAGCGAACAGACGAGGAGCUUGCUCCUCUGACGUUAGCGGCGGACGGGUGAGUAACACGUGGAUAACCUACCUAUAAGACUGGGAUAACUUCGGGAAACCGGAGCUAAUACCGGAUAACAUGUUGAACCGCAUGGUUUAACAGUGAAAGACGGUCUUGCUGUCACUUAUAGAUGGAUCCGCGCCGCAUUAGCUAGUUGGUAAGGUAACGGCUUACCAAGGCAACGAUGCGUAGCCGACCUGAGAGAGUGAUCGGCCACACUGGAACUGAGACACGGUCCAGACUCCUACGGGAGGCAGCAGUAGGGAAUCUUCCGCAAUGGGCGAAAGCCUGACGGAGCAACGCCGCGUGAGUGAAGAAGGUCUUCGGAUCGUAAAACUCUGUUAUUAGGGAAGAACAAAUGUGUAAGUAACUAUGCACGUCUUGACGGUACCUAAUCAGAAAGCCACGGCUAACUACGUG